GUUCGGAUUGCAGUCUGCAACUCGAGUGCAUGAAGCUGGAAUCGCUAGUAAUCGCGGAUCAGAAUGCCGCGGUGAAUACGUUCCCGGGCCUUGUACACACCGCCCGUCACACCAUGAGAGUUGGGAAUACCCGAAGCCUGUGAGCUAACGAAAGAGGCAGCAGUCGAAGGUAGAAUCAAUGAUUGGGGUGAAGUCGUAACAAGGUAGC
rnacentral:rRNA from 1 species